CAGACCACAUUUAAGGGUAAGCCAGUGGAGAGGAGAGUAUUUUGCUGGAGAUCUCUGCUUACUUGAGGCUUUCAAAAGUGCCUGUAGAAAACAAUCCAGGUAGGAAGCAAACAAGGGACAACAAUGAAGAACAACAGGACCACUCAUCCCAGACUCCUCUGCCAUCCCCUAAACAGGCAGUUUGCUUCUUUAGGUAGUUUGUACAAGGUCUAUUUGCUACCAGUCUCCUCCCACUUGGCGCAGUGAAUCACCGUUCACACAAUGCUGAAUGAAGCCACUAAUUAAACAUGUGAUCUUUAUUAGGCUCUAGGCAGGUUACGCUUACAAUCCUGUGCAGUAAAUGACUUGUUUGUACAACUCUUUAACGCAUCUCCUGCCACUUUCCAACUGCUUUGAGUGCAAACAGGUCUGUGCUCACAAGGCAUGUUGGCCAAUUCUCUC